rnacentral:lncRNA from 1 species
UUCAAGAUACAGGUUGAUCGCAGGAUCGAAUUGCAUAGUAACUUUCUACUGAAGGAUAUUUUUGAUAUUUUUAUUAAAAUUUUAUAUCUUUCAAGUAGAUAUGAUACAUUGUUAGAUAUCAAUAUAGUCUUAUGAGUUUGAUCAAAUUAAAGAGUUUAAUUCGAUCAUCAAUUAGAAAGGAUUCUAAUUGCUAAAAUCGGAUUAGCUCGAUUGGACCU